rnacentral:rRNA from 1 species
GAUGAACGCUAGCUACAGGCUUAACACAUGCAAGUCGAGGGGUAACGAGAGGAAAGCUUGCUUUCCUUGUCGACGACCGGCGCACGGGGGAGUAACGCGUAUCCAACCUGCCCCCAACUAAGGAAUAACCUUGCGAAAGUAAGACUAAUACCUUAUAAUUUCCUCAGAUGACAUCUGACGAGGAAUAAAGAUUUAUCGGUUGUGGAUGGGGAUGCGUCUGAUUAGCUUGUUGGCGGGGUAACGGCCCACCAAGGCAACGAUCAGUAGGGGUUCUGCGAGGAAGCUCCCCCGCAUUGGAACGGGGACACGGUCCAAACUCCGACGGGCGGCAGCAGUGGGGAAUAUUGGUCAAUGGGCGGAAGCCUGAACCAGCCAAGUAGCGUGCAGGAUGACGGCCCUAUGGGUUGUAAACUGCUUUUAUACAGGAAUAAAGUUAGCCACGUGUGGUUAUUUGUAGGUACUGUAUGAAUAAGGACCGGCUAAUUCCGUGCCAGCCGCCGCCGUAA